GGGCCUGGAUGGCUUAGUCAUCUGCCUUCAGCUCAGGUCAUAAUCCCAGUGUCGUGGGAUCGAGUCCUCCCGCAUUGGGGCUCCCUGCUCAGUGUGGAAUCUGCUUCUCUCUCACUCUACUCUGUGCUGUCAUGCACUCUUGCCCUCUCAAAUAAAUGAAUAAACUCUUCUUUAAAAAUAAAUUUAAAAAAUAAGAUUUUUAAAAAUUGGGGUGCUGGCUAGCUCAAUCAAUAGAGCAUGGGACUGUUGAUCUCAAGGUUGUGAGUUUGAGCCCCAUGUUGGGCAUAGAGAUUAUUUAAUAAAAGAAAAAUUUAAAUUUUUAAAAAUGAUAAAAGUUGUAAAUAUCUGAAAAUCCAGGAAAAAAUUUAUGUAUUACAGGUACCCAAAAUCUCUCUAUAACACUAUUUCUCCUUUUUUGCUUUUCUGCAUAGACUUUGAUCUCUCUUUCUCUUUUUUUUAGUAGGCUUCAUGCCCAGCAUGGAGCCCAACAUGAGGUGGGGCUUGAACUUACAACCUUAAGAUCAAAACCUAAGCUGAUGAGUCAGAUACUUAACCCACUGAACCACCCAGGCACACACCUCUUUCUCUUUUUUUUAAGUAAUCUCUGUGCCCAACAUGGGGCUCGAACUCACAACCCUGAGAUCAAGAGUCACAUGUUCUACUGACUAAGCCAGCCAGGCACCCUUGAUCUCUUCCUCAUAUGACAGUGGUUUGCAAUAUUGGAUGAUUAUAUAAGGAUGAUUUAGUUUAGCAUGAUUGUUUAAACUUGUUUUUUUAUUACUGAUAAUUUGGAAAAGAUUUUUUUUUUAAGAUUUUAUUUAUUUAUUUGACAAAGAGAGAUCACAAGUAGAAGGAGAGGCAGACAGAGAGAGAGGAGGAAGCAGGCUCCCCGCUGAGCAGAGAGCCGGAUUUGGGGCUCGAUCCCAGGACCCCGGGAUCACAACCUGAGCCAAAGGCAGAGGCUUAACCCACUGAGCCACCCAGACACCCCUGGAAAAGAUUUUUGAGCUUCAGAAUUCAUGACUAGUAAUGUCAUCUAUAUUUUUAGAAUUAUUGUCAAAUAUAGUAAAGCCUCUGUCACAUACGAACUGUAAGAUUUAAAGAUAUUUCAAGUUUUCUUGGGCAGUGAUAACCCUUAAAUCUUUUUGAGUAGGGGGUACCUGGGUGGCUCAGUCAUUGAGCAUCUGCCUUCGGCUCAGGUAAAGAUCCGGGAGUCCUGGGAUUGAGCCCUGCAUCGGGCACCCCGCUUGGCGGGAAGCCUGCUUCUCCCUCUCCCACUCCCCCUGCUUGUAUUCCCUCUCUCACUGUCUCUCUCUCUCUGUCAAAUAAAUAAAUAAGAUCUUUUACAAAAAAUCUUUUUGAUUAGGCCACAGACAUCAACCAGUUUGUCUGCCACGUCCUGUCUCAGUGGAAUAGAGUGAGUUUUAUGUUAUCCUUAUUGAUGCCAGUAUUUUGCAUUAAAUCAAGAGUCAAUUAAUCUUCUCCCAAUGAGUGACAUGUCAUCAGCCUUUGUGAAGACAAGAUGCAUCAGGAAUUUCAAAUGGUGAAGUCUCAUCCUUGUUAUUAGACCUGCGUUUCCAAGAAUCUUGCUGAUCAAGACACAUGCUUACCAAAUGAGUCGUGUUCACCCAACUCUGCUAAUCCAGCGCAAUUUAUUUCUGACAAAUUAAUACAAAGUAUUUUUUCAAACAUAUAUAUCUGCAUGAUGCUUUAAUCAUUUGUAUCAUUUCUAACCAGAUAUACUAUAUAUACAUUUAUACUUGGAAAAACUUGGUGUCUUACGUACUUAUAAAUCUUGUAAACUUCCUCAGAACAGAUUUCUCUUUUGAUCAAUUCUAUAUUUCAUCAUAAGUUUAAAAAAAUGUGGCAGUAUAGCAGGGGAUGGUGGCCAAUAUCUCUGGUAUGAGCAGCAGAGGCUGAAAGUGGGAUCCAUUGCUACAAUAUUUUUACUUUGCAGACCAGCUGAUACUUUUCAUAAGGUGGUUCUGUCAGCUUUUAAGGCUUUUCCACUUCCUUAGGCUUGCUCUGUGGUCAGAAUGGUGGACUGCUGAAGCUGAUUAUCUGUCGCGUGAUUUAAUUUCCUUGCGUGCACCAAUUUCAGAACUACUGAAGCUUUACUAAUUAUUACUCUUUCAGAUACCAAGUUGACCAAAGGUGACUAACAAGCACUUGCUGAGUUUCUCUAUUGAUUUAAAAAUAUACAGUGAAGCUAAUGGGAAUAUUAGUACUCAAAAGUCAAAAGGGGACAUCGGAAGCACUUCAUAGAAUUUGGAGUUUGAAACUGGAAUCUAGGUUAAAGUGUGGAGAGUUUGUUUAUUUCACAGCCUUGGGUACUUGAAGAUCAAAUUCCCUUAGAUUAGCAGCUACGUCAGGUGUUCCUGUUAUGCAGUGUAGAAACUCAGGUUUAAUAUGAUCUUGCAUGAAACUUAUUUAGCCAUUAAUUGAAAGCAGACGAAUAGACUGAUUAGGUCAUGACUUGGCAACUUUGGUUAUUUAGCUGAGUUUGCUUUCUUUAACUUCCCCUUCAGUGUGUGAUCCAUGGACUAAAAAUGCAGGGUUUUUUGUGUAUAUUUUAUUUAUCACAGACUUAAUUUUUUAAAAUAUCUAAAGAAGACUACAACGAUGUAAAAAUUUUAUGGCUGUAUAGUUUGCUUAUUGCCCUUCUUUUCUCUCUCUCUCUCUCUUUCCUUCAAACACACUGCAUUAUUCAUUGUUUUUUUUUUCUCAUAGUUUCUCUAGUAUUCUAAAAUUAUGUGGCAUAGGGUCUGUCUCUUUUAACGAUGACUGUAAAUCACUGGACAUAAUAACUUUAGGCUUUUAUUCCCAUCUCAAAUGUAGUGGUAUACACUGUUAUACAAUUAAUUUGGUUAUGUGCUAAAUUCUUUUUUUUAAUUUUUUUUAAUUUUUAAUUUUUU